ensembl:lncRNA
CCAAUACAAGGAAGUGAAGAAAAGUUCUAAGUUACUCUGCUUAGUGCUUACAAACUAUUUGGUUUAAUUGGUCAAACGCCAAGUUGUUCGCGAGACAUAUAAAAGUACGCUAAAACAGAUGAAAAGCAUGUGUGAAAGACGCGUUUUAUUUAGAACUUGUGUCUCGCGGACUCACUCAUGCUUUCAUUGACAGUACUGAUGGACUGAUACACCUUCAUUUAAGCGACUUUUAAGCGGAAAAUUGCCACAGCUCUGACAGCAGACACGAUGAAGAUGAUUACAUUCUUCAUCGUGGGACUCAUUGUACAUGUAGUCUUCUUUCUCUCAAUAUUUGACAUCUAUUUCACAUCCCCUCUCGUCCAUGGAAUGACACCACAUAGUGUCCCUCUGGCCCCUCCGGCCUGAUGGUUUCCAUAAAAUGCAGUUUGAUUCUGUUUUUAAUGAGACCAGGUAUUCCUGGUGUUGGGGUAGCCCUGAUAUAUUACCGAUGUUUGCUAAAGGAGCCACUGGAGAACAUGUGUACACUCACACUUACCCUCCAGAGCGGGAGGACUUUGCCUCCACUGAUGCUUCCAGACUUGAUACAUGGGUAUUUGAUGAAGUGAAGGGAAUAUCUAGAGAACACUGGCCUGGUUGAUGCUGGUGUUGCUGAAAUUGUCACUAUGAUGGACGACUUUUAUGGGCAUGAUAGAAAAACGGCUUAUGUUUUUACAUCCGACCAUGGAAUGACAAAUUGGGGAUCUCACGGUGCGGGACAUCCAUCAAACGCUGACCCACUGGUAUCUUGAGGCACUGGUGUCCAGACACGCAAUGGGAGAGCUCUCACAAAUAUGAUGAUAAUUAUUUAAAAGAAUGGGGGUUGGAUACUUCCAGGAGAGUGGAUGUCAAUCAGGCUGAUAUUGCUCCGGUAAUGUCAUCACUUUUAGGAGUUCCCUUUUCUUUGAACUCUGUGGGUGUCUUACCUCUGAUUUACCUGAAUAACAGCCAGCACUUUAAGGCUGAGAGCAUAUAUGCAAAUGCUAUUCAGAUCUUGGAACAGUUCAGGGUGAAAAUGGCACAGAAGAAAGAAACAACAAUAUAUUUUCUGUUUACACCCUGCCAGUGAGUAAAAGUCAAUGUCUAAAGGGAUACUUCACCUAAAAAUAAACAUUCAGUCAUCAUUUGCUCACUCUCAAGUUUUUUCAGACCUACAGUAUAUGACUGACUUUCUUCCUUGGAACAUAUAAAUUUUUUGAAUUUGCCAGUACAAAGUCCUUGAAUUUAAUUGGUCAGGCAGUCUUCUAAAGAUGUUGGUAUAUAGCUGCCUCUUACGUAGUUUUGUUUAUCCUGAAGUCGCAUGCUACCCUACGCAAACCUCCAACUAACACAUGGUAAGCAAGGCAAGAGAUGUUGUAGUGAGAGUGCAGCAUGUUUGUAGGUCAUGGUCAUUGGCGUUAAUAUUGAGGUUAGUGGUUUAUUGGUAAAUAAACCAACAAAGGUAAAGUUAAAAUGUAUGUUAUUUCCUGUAUGUGUUUCUAUCUGUGGUAUUCAAGGUAACCGAAAGGAAACUGGGACAGAUGUUUCUGUGUACAGAUCUGCUUAUGGCUCUGUUCUUCUUGGUUCAGUCCAGUCCUUGGACCUACUACAUCUACUGCUUGCUCCCUCUGCCUGUGUGGUUCUCUGUCAUGAGGAAAUUUGAAACUCUUGCCGGACUUGUUUGAGCAAUCCCCUCAUUACCACUCAGCAAAUGCUUUGGAUAUUUUUUGCUAGUUACUUUUGGAAUUGAAUUACUUUUCAGUUCAUUGAGCUGGAUUUUGAGCUGUCUCUUUCUGGCUGUGUUUCCACUGUUGCCUGUGGUGGGACAGGAACCAGACAUUAACUGUGUGUGAGCACUCUUUGUUCACUUAAACCUGUCAUACACAAUAAUUUGUGGUCAUUUUCUUCAUUUAAACUUUUAAACACAUUCAUACGCUCUGAUUAUUAAAGCAGAAUGGCGUCAGGAAGGUUUAUCUUCUAAAUUGAAUGGAGACGCUCUCCUCUGUUCCGAAGGGAUCGUCAGCUGAUCAUCUGCCAGAUGAUGCAGGUGAUGCUGUGUGCUUACACCCUGACCAGCACACACCCAAGUCUGCAGCUGAAGCAAGGCUUGCCUCUCUUUAACUAGCUUGUUAGCUUGCUCACACUAGGUUUGCCAUCUCCAUUCCCAUGAUGCUUUAUUACCAAUUUUAGACUGUAAAGGGAUAGUUUGCCCAAAAAUUACACUUCUGUCAUUGUUUACUCAUCCUCAUGUCAUUUCAAAUCUGUAUGGUUUUCUGUCUUCUGUGGAACACUCAUAAAGUCAUAAAGAUUUAAAAUGACAUGAGGGUGACAAAAUGGUGAGAUGAACCCUUGAUGCAUGACUGCUAACCAGUGAAUUGCACUUCUUCUUUUCAUCCGUCCUGUUCAUACUUUAACCCUUGCUCUCUAACACUUUGUUUUUUAGUUUCCUCAUUUUUGAUAACGUUGUUAAGUUCCACCAGGCUCUUCUCACACACUUCUGAGUAUCCUGAUGUCCUUAGUUUGUGUCUACCUCCUCCUGAGCACAGGGUAAAAGCCACUAACCAUUAAUCUAACGCCAUCUAAUCAUUCAUUUUUAUGUGUCUGUGCUAGGUUUAACAGUACUUCAGCACAUGUUAGAUUUAGUCAAAUUCUCCUCUUGAGGUUGCCUGUCUAAGGAAAUGGAAUUAAAAAAAAAACCACAUAGUGCUUACAGCAAGCUGUUAAGUUGCAGAAGUUUUUAGUUUAGCCACUGACUGGUUUGAGACCGUUUCAGUUAUACAGAGAAUAUUAUAACGAAUAAUUAAUAAUCUAAUUAAAUAAUAACACUACCAUUCAAAAGUUUGGGGUUGGUUAUUUUUUAAGGAGGUCUUACAUGCCCACCAAUGGCUGUUUUUAUUUUUAAUGCAGUAAAUAGUUCAUAAUAUGAAAUAUUACAAACCUGAUUCCAAAAAAGUUGGGACACUGUACAAAUUGUUAGUAAAAAAGGAAUGGAAUAAUUUACAAAUCUCAUAAACUUAUAUUUUAUUCACAAUAGAAUAUAGAUAACAUAUCAAAUGUUGAAAGUGAGACAUUUUAAAAUGUCAUGCCAAAUAAUGGCUCAUUUUGGAUUUCAUGAGAGCUACACAUUCCAAAAAAGUUGGGACAGGUGGCAAUAAGAGGCCGGAAAAGUUAAAUGUACAUAUAAGGAACAGCUGGAGGACCAAUUUGCAACUUCUUAGGUCAAUUGACAACAUGAUUGGGUAUAAAAGAGCCUCUCAGAGUGGCAGUGUCUCUCAGAAGUCAAGAUGGGCAGAGGAUCACCAAUUCCCCCAAUGCUGCGGCGAAAAAUAGUGGAGCAAUAUCAGAAAGGAGUUUCUCAGAGAAAAAUAGCAAAGAGUUUGAAGUUAUCAUCAUCUACAGUGCAUAAUAUCAUCCAAAGAUUCAGAGAAUCUGGAAUAAUCUCUGUGCGUAAGGGUCAAGGCCGGAAAACCAUACUGGAUGCCCGUGAUCUUCGGGCCCUUAGACAGCACUGCAUCACAUACAGGAAUGCUACAGUAAUGGAAAUCACAACAUGGGCUCAGGAAUACUUCCAGAAAGCAUUAUCGGUGAACACAAUACACCGUGCCAUUCACCGUUGCCAGCUAAAACUCUAUAGGUCAAAAAAGAAGCCAUAUCUAAACAUGAUCCAGAAGCGCAGGCGUUUUCUCUGGGCCAAGGCUCAUUUAAAAUGGACUGUGGCAAAGUGAAAAACUGUUCUGUGGUCAGACGAAUCAAACUUUGAAGUUCUUUUUGGAAAACUGGGAUGCCAUGUCAUCUGGACUAAAGAGGACAAGGACAACCCAAGUUGUUCUCAGCGCUCAGUUCAGAAGCCUGCAUCUCUGAUGGUAUGGGGUUACAUGAGUGCGUGUGGCAUGGGCAGCUUACACAUCUGGAAAGGCACCAUCAAUGCUGAAAGGUAUAUCCAAGUUCUAGAACAACAUAUGCUCCCAUUCAGACGUCAUCUCUUUCAGGGAAGACCUUGCAUUUUCCAACAUGACAAUGCCAGACCACAUACUGCAUCUAUUACAACAUCAUGGCUGCGUAGAAGAAGGAUCCGGGUACUGAAAUGGCCAGCCUGCAGUCCAGAUCUUUCACCCAAACAUUUGGUGCAUCAUAAAGAGGAAGAUGCGACAAAGAAGACCUAAGACAGUUGAGCAACUAGAAGCCUGUAUUAGACAAGAAUGGGACAACAUUCCUAUUCCUAAACUUGAGCAACUUGUCUCCUCAGUCCCCAGACGUUUGCAGACUGUUAUAAAAAGAAGAGGGGAUGCCACACAGUGGUAAACAUGGCCUUGUCCCAACUUUUUUGAGAUGUGUUGAUGCCAUGAAAUUUAAAAUCAACUUAUUUUUCCCUUAAAAUGAUACAUUUUCUCAGUUUAAACAUUUAAUAUGUCAUCUAUGUUGUAUUCUGAAUAAAAUAUUGAAAUUCGAAACUUCCACAUGAUUGCAUUCUGUUUUUAUUCACAAUCUGUACAGUGUCCCAACUUUUAAGUAUUAUAGUUUAAAAUAACAUUUCUAUUUAAAUACGUUUUAAAAUGUAUUGUAUUCCUGUGAUGGGAAAGCUGAAUUUCCAGCAGCCAUUACUUUUGUCUUCCGAUGAAUCUGAUUUGGUGCUCAAUAAACAUUUCUUCUUAUUAUCAGUGUUAAAAACAGUUAUGCUGCUUAAUAUUUUUGUGAGAACCAUGAUACAUUUUUUUUUUCAGGUUACUUUGAUGAAUAGAAAGUAAAAAAAAAAAAAAAAACAUUGUGUAAAGUUUAUGUUUCACAGUAAGAGUAGACAAACCACUGAUCAUACCAUAUCCUGUUUUCCCAGCUCUCCAGCAUUGAUUUGGCUGAAAACAUUGACAUUACCAAGAUCAGGCAGCUGAGGCUGGAUGACAUUCGGAAAUAUUUCUUCUUUGCAUCCUUUUGGACUACAAACUAUUAUUUGUGUCUUUUGAUUAUUAAAAAAAUGUUUACACUAUUAUAUAAAUAAUAUAGUUCCUUAACUGUUGUAAUAGUUGUUUUUCAUUAUCAUUGCAUUCUUCUGCUGUGGUAACAUUGCCUCUAUUAAUAGGUAAGCUGCUCAUUUUGAAGUAAAACUGUGCUAUUAAAUAAACUUAAAUAAAU